AUUGAACGCUGGCGGCAGGCUUAACACAUGCAAGUCGAACGAGUGGCGGACGGGUGAGUAAUGUCUGGGAAACUGCCUGAUGGAGGGGGAUAACUACUGGAAACGGUAGCUAAUACCGCAUACCAUCGGAUGUGCCCAGAUGGGAUUAGCUAGUAGGUGGGGUAAAGGCUCACCUAGGCGACGAUCCCUAGCUGGUUUGAGAGGGUGACCAGCCACACUGGAACACAGACACGGUCCAGACUCCUACGGAAGGCAGCAGUGGGGAAUAUUGCACGAUGGGCGAAAGCCUGAUGCAGCCAGGCCGCGUGUAUGAAAAAGGCCUUCGGGUUGUAAAGUACUUUCAGCGGGGAGGCGUUACCCGCGGAGGAAGCACCGGCUAACUACGUGCCAGCCGCCGCGGUAAUAC
rnacentral:rRNA from 1 species